ensembl:lncRNA
CCAUAGGGUGAGCAACACCCAUAGGGACAACAGCUGUAGGGUAACACCUAUAGGGACAACGGCUAUAGGGUCAGCAACACCCAUAGGAACAGCAGCUGUAGGGUCAGCAACACCCAUAGGGUGAGCAACAGCCAUAGGGACAACAGCUGUAGGGUCAGCAACAGCUGUAGGGUCAGCAACACCUGUAGGGUCAGCAACACCCAUAGGGGGAACAGCUGUAGGGUCAGCAACAGCUGUAGGGUCAGCAACACCCAUAGAAGAAACACCUGUAGGGUCAGCAACACCCAUAGGGGGAACAGCUGUAGGGUCAGCAACACCUGUAGGGUGAGGAACACCCAUAGGGGGAACAGCUGUAGUGUCAGCAACACCUGUAGGGUCAGCAACAGCUGUAGGGUGAGCAACACCCAUAGGGGGAACAGCUGUAGGGUGAGGAACACCCAUAGGAACAACAGCUGUAGUGUCAGCAACACCUGUAGGGUCAGCAACAGCUGUAGGGUCAGCAACACCCAUAGGGGGAACAGCUGUAGGGUGAGCAACACCCAUAGGGGGAACAGCUGUAGGGUCAGCAACAGCUGUAGGGUCAGCAACACCCAUAGGGUGAGCAACACCCAUAGGGACAACAGCUGUAGGGUAACACCCACAGGAAUAACAGCUGUAGGGUCAGCAACACCCGUAGGGUGAGCAACACCCAUAGGGACAACGGCUGUAGGGUCAGCAACAACCGUAGGGGGAACAGCUGUAGGGUCAGCAACACCUGUAGGGUCAGCAACAGCUGUAGGGUGAGCAACACCCAUAGGGGGAACAGCCGUAGGGUCAGCAACACCCAUAGGGUGAGCAACACCCAUAGGGACAACAGCUGUAGGGUAACACCUAUAGGGACAACGGCUAUAGGGUCAGCAACACCCAUAGGAACAGCAGCUGUAGGGUCAGCAACACCCAUAGGGUGAGCAACAGCCAUAGGGACAACAGCUGUAGGGUCAGCAACAGCUGUAGGGUCAGCAACACCUGUAGGGUCAGCAACACCCAUAGGGGGAACAGCUGUAGGGUCAGCAACACCUGUAGGGUCAGCAACAGCUGUAGGGUCAGCAACACCCAUAGGAACAACAGCUGUAGGGUCAGCAACAGCUGUAGGGUGAGCAACACCCAUAGGGACAACAGCUAUAGGGUAACACCUAUAGGGACAACGGCUGUAGGGUCAGCAACACCCAUAGGGACAGCAGCUGUAGGGUCAGCAACACCAUAGGGUGAGCAAUACCCAUAGGAACAACAGCUGUAGGGUCAGCAACACCCAUAGGGGGCGCAGUGAACAGUCAGCUGGUUGGGUGUGGGGUGUGGGGUGUGGGGCUGCCCCAUAGGGGGAACAGUCGGAGCGGUGCGGCGGUUCGGGGUCACGUUGGGGGUUGCUGAACCCUACAGGGAGAAGACUCCGAACAGCUGUAGGACCACCGCCACCACACAUAGGCCGCUCCAGGACGGCCAGCAGCGCCCUGCAGCCCUCCUCCCCUUUGGCCGCCAUCAGCGCCCGCAGCCGCCGCACCCAACGGCGCCCCCCCGGGGGUCCCAACGCCGCCUCCUCGGUGGGUCCCAACGCCCCCCACCCCCGCAGCCCCUCCAGCAGCCCCCAACCCGGCGCCCGCAGCAGCCGCUCCUCCAACGCGCGGCCCUCAGCCGCCACCACCGCCCACGCCGACGUCAUGGCUGCCUGGGGGGAGAGCGGGGGGUCAGCCCCAUAGCGGACCCACACACCCACUGUUGUGGGGCUCAGCCCCAUAGGGGACCCCACACACCCACUGCCGUGGGGCUCAGCCCCAUAGCGGACCCCACAGACCCACUGCCGUGGGGCUCAGCCCCAUAGGGGACCCCACAGACCCAUUGUUGUGAGGCUAAGCCCUAUAGGGGAUCACACAGACCCAUUGCCGUGGGGCUCAGCCCCAUAGCGGACCCCACACACACACUGCCGUGGGGCUCAGCCCCAUAGCGGACCCCACAGACCCAUUGUUGUGAGGCUCAGCCCUAUAGGGGAUCACACAGACCCGUUGCCGUGGGGCUCAGCCCUAUAGGGGACCCCACAGACCCACUGCCGUGGGGCUCAGCCCCAUAGGGGACCCCACACACCCACUGUUGUGGGGCUCAGCCCCAUAGCGGACCCCACACACCCACUGCCGUGGGGCUCAGCCCUAUAGGAGACCCCACAGACCCACUGCCGUGGGGCUCAGCCCCAUAGGGGACCCCACAGACCCGUUAUUGUGAGGCUCAGCCCCAUAGGGGACCCCACAGACCCACUGCUGUGGGGCUCAGCCCUAUAGGGGACCCCACAGACCCACUGCCGUGGGGCUCAGCCCUAUAGGGGAUCCCACAGACCCAUUCUUGUGGGGCUCAGCCCUAUAGGAGACGCUGGAGAGUCCCCAUUGGAGGGCUUCGGCCCUAUAUGAGGCUGUAGGGGUGCCAUGGGUGGGGCUCAGCCCUAUAGGGGACCCCACAGACCCAUUGUUGUGGGGCUCAGCCCCAUAGGGGACCCCACAGACCCACUGCUGUGGGGCUCAGCCCCAUAGCGGACCCCACAGACCCACUGCCGUGGGGCUCAGCCCCAUAGGGGACUCCAUAGACACAGUGUUGUGGGGCUCAGCCCUAUAGGGGACCCCACAGACCCACUGCCGUGGGGCUCAGCCCCAUAGUGGACCCCACAGACCCAUUGUUGUGAGGCUCAGCCCUAUAGGGGAUCACACAGACCCACUGCCGUGGGGCUCAGCCCUAUAGGAGACCCCACAGACCCAUUGUUGUGAGGCUCAGCCCUAUAGGGGAUCACACAGACCCACUGCCGUGGGGCUCAGCCCUAUAGGGGACCCCACAGACCCAUUGCUAUGAGGCUCAGCUCUAUAAGGGACCCCACAGAACCAUUCUUGUGGGGCUCAGCCCCAUAGGGGACCCCACAGACCCACUGCCGUGGGGCUCAGCCCCAUAGGGGACUCCAUAGACACAGUGUUGUGGGGCUCAGCCCUAUAGGGGAUCACACAGACCCGUUGCCGUGGGGCUCAGCCCUAUAGGGGACCCCACAGACCCACUGCCGUGGGGCUCAGCCCCAUAGGGGACUCCACAGACCCAUUGUUGUGGGGCUCAGCCCCAUAGGGGACCCCACAGACCCACUGCCGUGGGGCUCAGCCCCAUAGGGGACUCCAUAGACACAGUGUUGUGGGGCUCAGCCCUAUAGGGGAUCACACAGACCCACUGCCGUGGGGCUCAGCCCUAUAGCAGACCCCACAGACCCACUGCCGUGGGGCUCAGCCCUAUAGGGGACCCUACAGAC